rnacentral:rRNA from 1 species
UACAGAGGAGCCAAGCGUUGUCCGGAUUGACUGGGCGUAAAGCGCACGCAGGCGGAUGCGCGCGUGGGGUGUGAAAUCUGGCCGCUUAACGGCCAGGCGCCAUCCCAUACGGCGCGUCUGGAGUGAUGCAGAGGUCGAUGGAAUUGCCGGUGUAGUGGUGAAAUGCGUAGAUAUCGAGAGGAACACCUGCGGCGAAGGCGGGUUGCUGGGCUGACACUGACGCUGAUGCGCGAAAGCCAGGGGAGCGAACGGG